rnacentral:rRNA from 1 species
UACGUAGGGUGCAAGCGUUAAUCGGAAUUACUGGGCGUAAAGCGUGCGCAGGCGGUGAUGUAAGACAGAUGUGAAAUCCCCGGGCUCAACCUGGGAACUGCAUUUGUGACUGCAUCGCUGGAGUGCGGCAGAGGGGGAUGGAAUUCCGCGUGUAGCAGUGAAAUGCGUAGAUAUGCGGAGGAACACCGAUGGCGACGGCAAUCCCCUGGGCCUGCACUGACGCUCAUGCACGAAAGCGUGGGGAGCAAACAGG